AACUAACAUGUCGAACGACCGUUGUUCGACAGGUAUACAUGCCGAACAAUAGUUGUUCGAUAGGUACCCUGUUGAACUACAGUUGUUCAACAUGAUG
rnacentral:pre_miRNA from 1 species